CUCUCUAAAGGUGGCAUAUUAGACAUUCUCAAAGCGGGGCACCCACACCCUAGAACUAAGCCCCCUGUUUCAGUCCAGUGUUUUGAAACACAUUUUUACUAUUCCUGGAAGCACUUUCACAUUUUUUUCAGACGUUGAGUGAGCAACAGGGUAAAUAACAUUUCAAAAGCAUUUUUAGGGCAGUAAAACCUCAAGUGCCCUGCUAAAGGGGCUGAUCCAACAUCAAUUAGAUGCUGGCGUGCCUCAGCCGAGUGUGGUCAGCUCUGGUGCGUAGUGUGAAAACCUCCAGCUCACAGAUCUAUGCAGGGACUCACCACGCACUUGGGAGCCAUAAACUGGACAGCCGAGCGUAAACACCAGCCUGGGCGCCUGCCCACACCUGAAGCAUUGGCAGUGGAGAGCAGGGAUCCUCAGGGACCUGCUGUCACCCUGUGCUGUGUCCUAUCAGUUCUGUGAAAGCGGUGGAGUCGAGGGGGCGGGGCCUCAUGAAAAACCCGAGGCCGAGGGUGUCCGAGGCUUGGAAACCAGGAAGGAGAGAGGAGAAGAAACUGCUCCUGUGGCUUCUACUGGAAGUCCUCAGACGCAACCCAAAGGUGGACAACAUAAAACUCUGACGAACAGGCAUAUUAGAUGAACGUGCACGUAAGGAUUAUACAAGGCUGCGUGCUGGUAUAUGCAUCAAUAUAUUUCUGAAAAGAUGUGCCAAACCCUGAGUUCUGAGGGGAGAAGAAUGCACUGGGGAUGGAUGUGAUGACAGAGACUUUCGACAGUUUGAUUUCUGCCUCAUCCAUACAAUACUUCUGUAUAAAAGGCACCAUGUGCACAGGAGUUUCUAUUAAUGGAGUACUUGGGAAACCCAUAUCCUGAAGAAAAAUGAAGUGUGAGGAAGAGCCCUGAUGCCAGUUUCCUCCUAAGCAACAGCUCCAUCCAACGGCUCUCUCCCACAGUGGAGGGUGAGGGUCUAUUUCUGCUGAAAGGUGUUUUUGUGAAGAUUUUGCAAAUAGGGAUUUCGCUGUUGUGUAAAGUGCAGAAAUGAGUGAUGAACCACUAACAACUCUAUCUGUAAGAGCAGUAGAGCACAGGUUGUCUUCAGAGCCUCAAGACGUUCCAGAGCAGAGCUUCUCAAACUUUACUGUGCAUCCAAAUAAUAUGACAUCUUGUUCAAAAGCCAGUUCUGAUCCCACGGGGCUGGGCGGGGCCGAGACUCUGCACAGCUGUGAACCAGCCUUCGGGCAGCAAGGUUCUGGAGAGAACUCCCCUAAGACAAAGUGCUCAGGGGCGCAAGCAUGUUUACGUUCUUUGCCUUCUUUCUGAACAAGGACACUAUGGUACGGUCAUUUCUGUGGUGGAAUGGGAGCUGCCAGUCUCAGGUUCGUUUCAAGUGAGCCAAGAAACAAGCACGUGGUCAAACUCCACGUCUCAGCCCACUGACCGAGGACUGCUGAGCCGGUGCCCUAGACACAAAAGAUCACCCGUCCCACGGCGAAUCUCAGCACACAAACGCUGGCUCGACCGAAGGCGCCAGCGCUCAUCUGUCAUGUGAGCAAAUCUUUCUGCGGCCAAAAGGAAAUCUACAGACUGAGGACAGACUUGCCAAAGAAAUUAGGGCUUCAGUAAUUAGGAAACCACAAGCCACUACGCAUCUUGCUUCAGUCAGAGAUGAACGGGAACGCUUGCAAAAGUAUUUCACCACUAGCCUGCUUUGUGAAAGAGAGCCACAGGGGGAAAAAAAAAAAAGGGAAUUUUUAAAUUCCUCUAUUACCCAAUACAAUUAUGUGUUUCAGCCUAAACCAAUGCUGGCACCGAUCGGCA